rnacentral:tRNA from 1 species
GGCGCUGUGGUUCAGCAGGUUAAAGCCUCAGCCUGCAGUGCUGGCAUCCCAUAUGGGCGCAGGUUUGAGUCCUGGCUGCUCCA